rnacentral:antisense_RNA from 1 species
GGAGCCCUGCCAGCUGGGCCGCCCGAGGGGCGUUGCGGGGCUCCGGGCGGGGCCGACCCGGGGGGCUGCGCCGGGCCCCACCAGCCUUGCGCCUUUUUCGCUCGGUCUCCUUGGCCUCCCGCUCCUGCGACGCCGCUUUCCUUUUCUCUUGCUCCCGAGCUCGGACCUCGGCCAGGGGCCCCGCCCGCCAGUUGGUCGCCUCCUGCAGCACCCUGGAGGCCCAGGGCCGGCGGGGCGGCGGCUGUGGGGAUCCCGGGCGCGGCCCACACCUGGGACAAUGAGCAGGAACCCAGAGACAGGGUCUUGCUGUGUUGCUGAGCUGGUCUUGAACUCCUGGCCUCCCGCCUCAGUCUCCCAAAGUGCUGGGAUUACAGGGAAUGUGACUUCACUGGACGCAGUAUAAAGAUCUUCAGAUGUCCUCCUGCCGGGGACUGCAGGGAUCACAGAAAGACCACCGAGGUCCAGGAGCUACCUGCAAGCGGAGAUCCCUCUGGACGCCCCCUGCCUCACCCAGCAAAGCCGGAUCACAACCCUGCGCUCUCAAACCUCUAAAAGGGCUUGAGGUGCUAAGAGGAAAGGAGGCCCGAGAUUGCCACGGCAUACGUGGGCUCCAAGGAGGGAGCCAGGAGUCACCGCCUGCUUGGGCUAAGGGUACCGCGUACGGAACGGCGGCGGGGGCGCGGCCCAGUUCUAGGAGAUGCGCCCAACGAAGAAGCGGAGGGACAGGGUCACGGGAUAGGGCAGACACCCGGCUGCUUUUUGUUUGCUAGACACCAGCGCCAGCCCCUGCCCGGCCCUCCCGGUCUCCUAAGGGGGGGGGGGUCUUAGGCUCCACAGCGCCCCCGACCGCCCUCC